rnacentral:rRNA from 1 species
AGAAGCACCGGCUAACUACGUGCCAGCAGCCGCGGUGAUACGUAGGGUGCGAGCGUUGUCCGGAUUUAUUGGGCGUAAAGGGCUCGUAGGUGGUUGAUCGCGUCGGAAGUGUAAUCUUGGGGCUUAACCCUGAGCGUGCUUUCGAUACGGGUUGACUUGAGGAAGGUAGGGGAGAAUGGAAUUCCUGGUGGAGCGGUGGAAUGCGCAGAUAUCAGGAGGAACACCAGUGGCGAAGGCGGUUCUCUGGGCCUUUCCUGACGCUGAGGAGCGAAAGCGUGGGGAGCGAACAGGCUUAGAUACCCUGGUAGUCCACGCUGUAAACGGUGGGUACUAGGUGUGGGGUCCAUUCCACGGGUUCCGUGCCGUAGCUAACGCUUUAAGUACCCCGCCUGGGGAGUACGGCCGCAAGGCUAAAACUCAAAGGAAUUGACGGGGCCCCGCACAAGCGGCGGAGCAUGCGGAUUAAUUCGAUGCAACGCGUAGAACCUUACCUGGGUUUGACAUGGAUCGGGAGCGCUCAGAGAUGGGUGUGCCUCUUUUGGGGUCGGUUCACAGGUGGUGCAUGGCUGUCGUCAGCUCGUGUCGUGAGAUGUUGGGUUAAGUCCCGCAACGAGCGCAACCCUUGUUCACUGUUGCCAGCACGUUAUGGUGGGGACUCAGUGGAGACCGCCGGGGUCAACUCGGAGGAAGGUGGGGAUGACGUCAAGUCAUCAUGCCCCUUAUGUCCAGGGCUUCACGCAUGCUACAAUGGCUGGUACAGAGAGUGGCGAGCCUGUGAGGGUGAGCGAAUCUCGGAAAGCCGGUCUCAGUUCGGAUUGGGGUCUGCAACUCGACCUCAUGAAGUCGGAGUCGCUAGUAAUCGCAGAUCAGCAACGCUGCGGUGAAUACGUUCCCGGGGCUUGUACACACCGCCCGUCAAGUCAUGAAAGUUGGUAACACCCGAAGCCGGUGGCCUAACCGUUGUGGGGGAGCCGUCGAAGGUGGGACUGGUGAUUAGGACUAAGUCGUAACAAGGUAGCCGUACCGGAAGGUGCGGCUG